rnacentral:rRNA from 1 species
GAUGAACGCUGGCGGCGUGCCUAAUACAUGCAAGUCGAGCGAACGGACGAGAAGCUUGCUUCUCUGAUGUUAGCGGCGGACGGGUGAGUAACACGUGGAUAACCUACCUAUAAGACUGGGAUAACUUCGGGAAACCGUAGCUAAUACCGGAUAAUAUUUUGAACUGCAUGGUUCAAAAGUGAAAGACGGUCUUGCUGUCACUUAUAGAUGGAUCCGCGCUGCAUUAGCUAGUUGGUAAGGUAACGGCUUACCAAGGCAACGAUGCAUAGCCGACCUGAGAGGGUGAUCGGCCACACUGGAACUGAGACACGGUCCAGACUCCUACGGGAGGCAGCAGUAGGGAAUCUUCCGCAAUGGGCGAAAGCCUGACGGAGCAACGCCGCGUGAGUGAUGAAGGUCUUCGGAUCGUAAAACUCUGUUAUUAGGGAAGAACAUAUGUGUAAGUAACUGUGCACAUCUUGACGGUAACUAAUCAGAAAGCCACGGCUAACUACGUG